AUCGUCUGCAGUAGGAAUUCAUGGUUCAUCAGAUGUGGCCUAGUUGUUAGGGAUUCGAGACGUGUUCACUGGGGGGAUAGUAAAUGUUCAGUGCGUUUGGUAGAAUGAAACAACACAUGACCAAUUACGUUAGAUCAAUUUUUCCCACAAGUGGAGAUUUAUUCCACAAUAUUCAGCUUUCCAGGCAGACACCCAUCCACAGAGCCAUGGGUGAUAUAUGAUAUUCACAGUGGGCAUGACUGUGCUGUAAAUUAGUAUCACUUUUACAAACCCAAACAGGUUUAGAUCACAUGUCUAACUGUGAAAGAGAUCAUGUGUCUGUCAACGAAGAAGGCUCUCUCUGUUUGCGCCAUCAGACCUCCCCAGUGUGUCAUUCUGAUGCAGAGCUCUUGAAAUGAAGUUGAAAGAGGUAUUAGAAAAGUGGUCGCCUUUUGGUUAGAGUUUCUUCGCCGUCCGGUGCAUCAAUCGGAAUGAUGUUCACUUCCUCGACGUCACUGCUCACAAAACUUUGGUGCGUUAUUCUUAUGCCGAGGUUGUAUCGACCUUUAAAGGCAAAUCGGAAGAGGGUAUUCUUUUCCUUGACAUAAAGAACGGAAAUUUUAUGCAUUAGCAAGUCAUCCGCAUCCAAACAUAUUAAACGCACGAGGUAUUCCGCCUCGUUCGGCAACUUACCAUCCAGCAACGCAUCCAUCAACAUAAUGUAUUAUAGAGGAAAGUAAUGACCAAAUGCCGACUGGACGAUUUCCAUGCAAGAUGAAUGUUAAAAUCCAAGGAGAUCUGGUGAGGAGGAUGCAACGGACUAUGUCAUGUCAAACCAUUAGCUGAAUACAAUGAAUACUUUCAGUUCUCCAGAACGAGAGGCCAACAUAGGUAAAUAAUUGUACUGAAUCAAAAGAGGUACAUACUUGAACGAGUUUUUAAAACGAUAACAACUGGAAGUGCAUGUGGAAAUUUCAAUGGACGCUACCUGCACGUUACCUGAACGUUACUUUUAGUCGCUGAUUCAUCUCGAAGAUAAAAUAUUAAAAUUUUUAUAAAUUCAA
rnacentral:lncRNA from 1 species